GGUGAGGUGCCUGAGAGGCUUAAGGGCGCACAUUGGAAAUGUGAUGGGGGCGCAAGUCCCACCAGAGUUCGAAUCUCUGUCUCACCGCCA
rnacentral:tRNA from 1 species